rnacentral:sRNA from 1 species
CAGGGGAUUGCAGUGGCAAAGCUAGGCUAGGUCUUGGAGGCUGGUGUAAGGCGAUGCGGGUGAAGGCAGGAGGCUGAUGGAAAGACUGGGGGGAAGAAAAGCCGAAAUGGAUUCACGGUGCCUUGGAUGAAGGACGAGAGGGGAACUGCAAGCUCCUUCAACUGGUUCUGUCCGGUGAGAAGUGAUCAAGCUUGGGCUGACAAGAGGCUCAGGGAGCCCUCACGUUCUUUCGCUUUUUUACCUGCCAAUCAAACUGCUACAAGACAACACCCUGAUCUGGCAUGGACAUCGCGGGUCCAAGCCUGUAGCCCCAAAUCGGAUAAUCUCUGCAGCUGAUAACAAGCAAAAGAGAAGCCAGGCAACAGCCAUAUUAAAGAAGAAAACAAUCAACUCUGAGUCUCAAUACCUUCACAGAUGUGAAGAACUAGCAACAAAAUGACUUAGACAGCAACGUGAUUCCUAGAGAAUGGCAAGACCAAUUCUUCAACUACUUCUUCAGCAUUUCUGAAACAGUUGGAAGAUGGCCCAUAGUGCUCUCUUAAUUCUUUGAUAAUUUGGACAUUGACCUUUCCAUUAUAUGACCUGGGCUUGUGGGCAUCAUGUCGUAAUGUGCCUGUUCAGACAUCUCCCUGUACCAAUAUGGAUCACUUGAAGAGACUCCUUUGCCUCCAUCAAAAAGGAUACAGUUGUGUA